rnacentral:rRNA from 1 species
UUCCGGUUGAUCCCGCCGGAGGCGACCGCUUUGGGAGUUCGAUUAAGCCAUGCGAGUCGUGAGUCUUAGGGACUCGGCAUACUGCUCAGUAACACGCGGAUAACCUGCCCUAUCGUCUGGAAUAACCUCGGGAAACUGAGAAUAAGGCCGGAUAGUUCACAAUGCCUGGAACGGUUUGUGAAUCAAGGUAGGAUGGGUCUGCGGCGUAUCAGGUUGUAGGGGGUGUAAAGGACCCCCUAGCCUUCGACGCGUACGGGUGUUGGGAGACAUAGCCCGGAGAUGGAUUCUGAGACACGAAUCCAGACCCUACGGGGUGCAGCAGGCGCGAAAACUUCACACUGCAGGAAACUGUGAUGAGGGAACUCCUAGUGCAUGCACUAUGUGUAUGUAGAUCCUACUCUUAGCAAGUAGAGGGAAAGGGCUGGGAAAGACCGGUGCCAGCCGCCGCGGUAAUACCGGCAGCUCAAGUGGUCGUCGCUUUUAUUGGGCCUAAAACGUCCGUAGCCUGUUUGGUAAAUCUGUGGGUAAAUCAAUCCGCUCAACGGAUUGAAUUCUGCAGAGACUGCCAGACUAGGGACCGGGAGAGGUGUGGGGUACUCGAGGGGUAGGGGUAAAAUCCUGUCAUCCUUCGAGGACCACCAGUUGCGAAGGCGCCACACUGGAACGGAUCCGACGGUCAGGGACGAAGCCUAGGGGCACGAACCGGAUUAGAUACCCGGGUAGUCCUAGGUGUAAACGCUGUGAACUUGGUGUCGGGGGUCCGCAAGGGGUCCCCGGUGCCGGAGUGAAGAUGUUAAGUUCACUGCCUGGGGAGUACGGUCGCAAGGCUGAAACUUAAAGGAAUUGGCGGGGCAGCAC